rnacentral:sRNA from 1 species
UCAGUGGCUGUGCAGCUUGGGUGUCCUGUCCUCGGCUUAGGGGCACAGGCUUGUGGGGGGACCUGGGCACGGCGGAGGCAUCGUGUCCUUCCUCCAGGAAGGAAGGAGCUUCCGGAGCUUUCCUGGGAGGCUCGCUGGGGCUGCGGAGAUAACCUGAGGCCCUGCAACAGGCUGGGGAGCCCAAGGACCAUCCCAGGCCUUGGAACAGUUGGUGUCUUUCAGUCGCCGCCCUGGAGAGGCAGGUGUUUGACUUCCUGGGCUACCAGUGGGCGCCCAUCCUGGCCAACUUCGUCCACAUCAUCGUCGUCAUCCUGGGACUCUUCGGCACCAUCCAGUACCGGCCGCGCUACGUCAUGGUGUACACGGUGUGGGCAGCCGUCUGGGUCACCUGGAACAUCUUCAUCAUCUGCUUCUACCUGGAAGUCGGUGGCCUCUUACAGGACAGCGAGCUACUGACCUUCAGCCUCUCCCGGCAUCGCUCCUGGUGGCGUGAGCACUGGCCGGGCUGUCUGCACGAGGAGGUGCCGGCAGUGGGCCUCGGGGCCCCCCAUGGCCAGGCCCUGGUGUCAGGUGCUGGCUGUGCCCUGGAGCCCAGCUAUGUGGAGGCCCUACACAGCGGCCUGCAGAUCCUGAUCGCGCUUCUGGGCUUUGUCUGUGGCUGCUAUGUGGUCAGCGUGUUUACGGAGGAAGAGGACAGCUGUGAGUAUGGGGCCUCCGCAGGCAGCGGGGCGGGAGACGGCUACAGAGGUGGCAGCUCUGAGUCUGUCCUGUCUGGGGCAAGGCGAGAGACCUCCCCACUUGGGAGGGACCCCACGUCCAGCAGGGCCUUGCUCACGGCUGUAGGCCUGAGCGAGGACUCGCCACACACCAGGG